AGUGAACGCUGGCGGUAGGCCUAACACAUGCAAGUCGAACGGCAGCACAGUAAGAGCUUGCUCUUACGGGUGGCGAGUGGCGGACGGGUGAGGAAUACAUCGGAAUCUACUUUUUCGUGGGGGAUAACGUAGGGAAACUUACGCUAAUACCGCAUACGACCUACGGGUGAAAGCAGGGGAUCUUCGGACCUUGCGCGAUUGAAUGAGCCGAUGUCGGAUUAGUUAGUUGGCGGGGUAAAGGCCCACCAAGGCGACGAUCCGUAGCUGGUCUGAGAGGAUGAUCAGCCACACUGGAACUGGGACACGGUCCAGACUCCUACGGGGGGCAGCAGUGGGGAAUAUUGGACAAUGGGCGCAGGCCUGCUCCAGCCAUACCGCGUGGGUGAAGAAGGCCUUCGGGUUGUAAAGCCCUUUUGUUGGGAAAGAAAAGCAGCAGGUUAAUACCCCGCUGUUCUGACGGUACCCAAAGAAUAAGCACCGGCUAACUUCGUG
rnacentral:rRNA from 1 species